rnacentral:rRNA from 1 species
AGUGAACGCUGGCGGUAGGCCUAACACAUGCAAGUCGAACGGCAGCACAGUAAGAGCUUGCUCUUACGGGUGGCGGGUGGCGGACGGGUGAGGAAUACAUCGGAAUCUACUUUUUCGUGGGGGAUAUCGUAGGGAAACUUACGCUCAUACCGCAUACGAUCUUCGGGUGCAAGCAGGGGAUCUUCGCAAUUUGCUCGAUACCAUGAGCGGAUGUCGGAUGAGCUAGUGGGCGGGGUAAAGGCCCACCACGGCGACGAGCCGUAGCUGGUCUGAGAGGAUGAUCAGCCACACUGGAACUGAGACAGGGUCCAGACUCCUACGGGAGGCAGCAGUGGGGAAUAUUGGACAAGGGGCGCAAGCCUGAGCCAGCCAUACCGCGUGGGUGAAGAAGGCCUUCGUGUUGUAAAGCCCUUUUGUUGGGAAAGAAAAGCAGCAGGUUAAUACCCCGCUGUUCUGACGGUACCCAAAGGAUAAGCACCGGCUAACUUCGU